rnacentral:rRNA from 1 species
GACAGAGGGUGCAAACGUUGUUCGGAAUUACUGGGCGUAAAGCGCGUGUAGGCGGCUCGGAAAGUCGGGUGUGAAAGCCCUGGGCUCAACCCAGGAAGUGCAUUCGAAACUUCCGAGCUGGAGUCCCGGAGAGGAUGGCGGAAUUCUCGGUGUAGAGGUGAAAUUCGUAGAUAUCGAGAGGAACACCGGUGGCGAAGGCGGCCAUCUGGACGGUGACUGACGCUGAGACGCGAAAGCGUGGGGAGCAAACAGG